rnacentral:rRNA from 1 species
UACAGAGGUCUCAAGCGUUGUUCGGAUUCAUUGGGCGUAAAGGGUGCGUAGGUGGCGGGGUAAGUCAGGUGUGAAAUCUCGGGGCUCAACCCCGAAACUGCACUUGAUACUGCCUUGCUCGAGUACUGGAGAGGAGAUUGGAAUUUACGGUGUAGCAGUGAAAUGCGUAGAUAUCGUAAGGAAGACCAGUGGCGAAGGCGAAUCUCUGGACAGUUACUGACACUUGAGGCACGAAGGCCAGGGGAGCAAACGGG